rnacentral:rRNA from 1 species
AGAGUUUGAUCCUGGCUCAGGAUGAACGCUAGCGGCAGGCCUAAUACAUGCAAGUCGAACGGGAUCGGGGGCUUCGGUCCCCGUGAGAGUGGCGCACGGGUGCGUAACGCGUGAGCAACCUGCACGUCCCAGGGGGAUAGCCCGGAGAAAUCCGGAUUAAUACCGCAUGAGAAUGCAGGUCCGCAUGGGCCUUCAUUUAAAUAUUCAUAGGGGACGGAUGGGCUCGCGUGACAUUAGCUGGUUGGCGGGGUAACGGCCCACCAAGGCGACGAUGUCUAGGGGCUCUGAGAGGAGAAACCCCCACACUGGUACUGAGACACGGACCAGACUCCUACGGGAGGCAGCAGUAAGGGAUAUUGGUCAAUGGGGGGAACCCUGAACCAGCCAUGCCGCGUGCAGGAAGACGGCCCUACGGGUUGUAAACUGCUUUUGCACGGGAAUAACCCCCGGUAUGUAUACCGGGCUGAAUGUACCGUGAGAAUAAGGAUCGGCUAACUCCGUGCCAGCAGCCGCGGUAAUACGGAGGAUCCGAGCGUUAUCCGGAAUUAUUGGGUUUAAAGGGUGCGUAGGCGGCGCGCUAAGUCAGGGGUGAAAGACGGUGGCUCAACCAUCGCAGUGCCUUUGAUACUGGCGCGCUUGAAUGUACCUGAGGUAGGCGGAAUGUGGCAAGUAGCGGUGAAAUGCAUAGAUAUGCCACAGAACACCGAUUGCGAAGGCAGCUUACCAAAGUACGAUUGACGCUGAGGCACGAAAGCGUGGGGAUCGAACAGGAUAGAUACCCUGGUAGUCCACGCCCUAAACGAUGAACACUCGAUGUCGGCGAUAGACGGUCGGCGUCCCAGCGAAAGCGUUAAGUGUUCACCUGGGGAGUACGCCCGCAAGGGUGAAACUCAAGGGAUUUGACGGGGGCCCGCACAGCGGAGAGCAUGGUGGUUUAAUUCGAUGAUACCCCAGAACCUUACCAGGGCUUGAAGUUACUGAAUUGUCAGAGAUGAUCAGUCUUCGGUACAGGAACUAGUGCUGCAUGCUGCUGCAGCCUGGCCGUGAGUGUGGGUUUAAGUCCCGCAACGAGCGCAAACCUAUGCUUAAGUUGCCAGACACGUUCAAGGUGGGACCUCUAAACAGAACUGUGCCUGGU